UACGGAGGGUGCAAACGUUGCUCGGAAUUAUUGGGCGUAAAGCGCACGUAGGCGGCCGAUUAAGUCGGGUGUGAAAGCCCAGGGCUCAACCCUGGAAGUGCACUCGAAACUGGACGGCUUGAAUAUGGAAGAGGGUUGCGGAAUUCCCGGUGUAGAGGUGAAAUGCGUAGAUAUCGAGAGGAACACCUGCGGCGAAGGCGGGUUGCUGGGCUGACACUGACGCUGAGGCGCGAAAGCGUGGGGAGCAAACAGG
rnacentral:rRNA from 1 species